GAAUCCAUAGGUUAAUGAGGCGAACCGGGGGAACUGAAACAUCUAAGUACCCCGAGGAAAAGAAAUCAACCGAGAUUCCCCCAGUAGCGGCGAGCGAACGGGGAGGAGCCCAGAGCCUGAAUCAGCAUGUGUGUUAGUGGAAGCGUCUGGAAAGGCGCGCGAUACAGGGUGACAGCCCCGUACACAAAAGCGCAUGUGCUGUGAGCUCGAUGAGUAGGGCGGGACACGUGGUAUCCUGUCUGAAUAUGGGGGGACCAUCCUCCAAGGCUAAAUACUCCUGACUGACCGAUAGUGAACCAGUACCGUGAGGGAAAGGCGAAAAGAACCCCGGCGAGGGGAGUGAAAAAGAACCUGAAACCGUGUACGUACAAGCAGUGGGAGCACCCUUUGGGUGUGACUGCGUACC
rnacentral:rRNA from 1 species